GAUGAACGCUGGCGGCGUGCCUAAUACAUGCAAGUCGAGCGAACAGACGAGGAGCUUGCUCCUUCGACGUUAGCGGCGGACGGGUGAGUAACACGUAGGUAACCUACCUAUAAGACUGGGAUAACUUCGGGAAACCGGAGCUAAUACCGGAUAAUAUUUCGAACCGCAUGGUUCGAUAGUGAAAGAUGGCUUUGCUAUCACUUAUAGAUGGACCUGCGCCGUAUUAGCUAGUUGGUAAGGUAACGGCUUACCAAGGCAACGAUACGUAGCCGACCUGAGAGGGUGAUCGGCCACACUGGAACUGAGACACGGUCCAGACUCCUACGGGAGGCAGCAGUAGGGAAUCUUCCGCUAUGGGCGAAAGCCUGACGGAGCAACGCCGCGUGAGUGAUGAAGGUCUGCGGAUCGUAAAACUCUGUUAUUAGGGAAGAACAAACGUGUAGUAACUGUGCACGUCUUGACGGUACCUAAUCAGAAAGCCACGGCUAACUACGUG
rnacentral:rRNA from 1 species